AUGGCUGACGCGGGUCAAAGUGAAUUAUCUGUCCUUGUCAGCUUAAUAUUUGAUACGGCCUGUAUUUGGACCCAAGAUAUUAUACUUAUUUUUGCAAGUUGGUGGAGUGCUCGAAGCCUGCGUCAACUCCGCCGCGGGUAGGCCUGGUAUUGCACUAUCUUCGGGAUUCUUGGUCUACGGACA